AAAUUCUUGUGUGAUCAAGGGCAACAUUCUGCACACAUUUAGACAGAAAAUGUCCUAUAAUUCCCAGCUUGUUCCAGACAGAAUGCUAUGAGUGGUAAGAAUUCUUUAUAUCUAAUGUUCUCCUAAUUUUUGUUUAAACUGUAUGUGGCUAUCAGCUACCAUAUAUAUGCAAUUUGUUCUAAAGUUGGUUGAUUAUCAUAUCUUCCUGUCUCUUCUUGGCUUGUCUCAGCUGAGUUGCUGUCAAAGGAGCAAGUUACUAGUCCAUGUCAUUAGGAUAACUUCAGAGCCCAGGGCAGGACUUUGCUGAGAACUUAAGUGGGCUGCAGUGGCAAAUCUCCUUGAAUCAGCAUUUUAACUUACUACCUGCUGAUGUAUUAUGCAGAGGCAGAACAUGCAAAUACAAAUUAAUGAAAGUUCAGUAGUUCUUUCUGGCCACUGCUCUGCUUCAAAUUGCCCCUCCAUUAUUUCCUUCUCCAUGGCAUUUGAAAUGUGCAUUUGGAGAGGAAAACACUGUUUUGAAAUCUUUGGGAAGAGGAUUAGAGCAGAAGGAUAGGGUAUGUGGAGCAUCUUCUCUUCCACUCCAAGUCUCCCUCCCGCCUUACAGCUUUCCAGAAAGGUAUCUGUCUCUCCAAAUAAGCAUUCUGAAUCCCAUAGGGAGCAGAAUGGAGUCGAUGAGAAAAGAAAUAAGGGUCAUUUCUCUCCUGCCACUUCUUUACUCUAAACUCCCUAGAAAAAAUAGUAAUCAAGCUUUUCUUACAGGUAUUUGUGUGCAACAUGUAGUUAGCUUCUAGCUCUGAAUAAUGAAUCAACAGGUGCUGGCAGAAGGCUUGUCUAAAGCACUUUCUCAUUAACAACAAUUUAUAGGCUCUGGUACUGUAGUCAGCAUAAGACGUUCUCAGCACACAAUGCCUCGCUUUGCAAAUCCUAUCAUGAAUGAAUAGAACACACACAGAGAAGUUAGAGCACAGCUCACCAAACAGAGUCAGAGAGGAUGUCACGGAGCUUUAGCACAGGGAAACCCACAGUGGUACUUUCACCAUGCAUCAUGACUGGUGCACUAUACAUCUAAAGCAGGCAUUUCUGGGAACUUGAAAUAGCUGAAGCUGAGGGUCUUUUCCUCAAGACAUAUAUUGACAUUUAGUGGAAAUGAUCCCUCUUUUUACAAACCUGUAUAAGAGGUGGGGACAACCUCACUACGAUAUAAAGUGUGGGGGGAUCCUGUGUGACAAAAUCAUCUAUUAAUCUAGGUAAGUGAAGGUGAGGUAGCUGUGUUGGUCUGUUUCAAUAAAAACAAAACAAAGAGCCUUGUGACACCUGAAAGACAAACAAAUGUAAACGCGGAAUGACUAACAAAUGCUAAAUGUCUGUGUCCAUGGAAGCGUGUGUCACAGUAAGUACCUGCCAUCUCUAAGGUGCCACAAGCCUUUUUGUAGAUAAUUCAAAGUUGUGUGCUCACAGCACUUGGAUUCCAACUGCAAUCCUAUGAGCUGUUCCUUGGAAGUAAGUCUCCUUGAGCCGAGCGGGGAUUACUCCCAAGUAAACACGCAAACGGUUGCGUUGUUAAUGAUCUUCUGCGCACGUUCUGCGACGUAGCGCGCGGGACAUUUUAAAAGGCCCGGGGCGCUGGGGACCGGCCCCACGCGUUAUGUGACCAAGUUAGUUAAGCGGGAGGAGGGUACCCCAGCAGCGGCUGCCUCUUUCCUGCGGGAGGAUGCUACUCUAGUCAGGCUGCAAUCCUACGCAUCCUUCGUGCGCAAGGUCGGUCCCAUUGAACUCCACGGGGCUCCCUGUUGCGGAACCGGGCACAGGAUGGGGCUUACGGAAGGGUUUAGGCGGCACAAAGGGCGCCCAAGCCCUCCGGCGCCUCAAGCCUAAAGGUCCUCGCGAGCCAAUUCUGUCCUCUCUCUCUCUCUCUCUCCCGCCUUUUUUGCGCGUCUCCCUGUCAGCAACGAGCUCUCACGGCCUUCCCCUCCUCUCUCCCGCUCGGCUCCCGGGACUGCCGGGCCGUCAGUGAAAGAGAAGGGGACGUUAGAGGUCAGCAGCAGGAAGGCGCGGGCGGCGGCGGACGAGAGCUGGAGAGAGCCGAAGGGUUUGGGUCCGGGGACUCACACAGUGAAGUGAUAGACGAAGCACUUCCAGCCGCAAUCCUAUGAGGUCGCUUAGACUGAGAGUCAGUGAGUGGCUCAAAGUCAUCCAAAGAGCUUCCAGGCUGAGCAGGGAAUAGAAGCUGAAAACCCUUAAGUUUCAGAACCACCCUCUAACCACUGUACCACAUGGCUCUUGGUUGCAAAGGCUUCUGCAUACAGUCAGCCUGGACUUCUGCUAAGAGCGAUGUGUAUCUUCCCUGGAAAGCUGCUGUAUGGGAAGGAAGAAGGAAAAAGAGAAAAUGAGGCAACCCCUGAAGAAGGAGGCUGUUUCUCUGAAAUGCUGGAUGAGCAUAACCUGGGAUGCUUGUAACUCAGUUACUUGUUUUUAUUUUCAAACUGGUGUGCUGUAAAUCUACUUUAUCUGUUUUCAGUUUUGUUGCAGGAUUUAAACCUGAGCACUACAUAAGGAGCAUGUUCUUUCCACUCUUCUUUUACAUAACCUCUAGGUGGAACUAUGAUAUAAUAUAAUAAACCAAUUGUACAUCAAGAAAAAGUGCAUUAUUUCACCAUUACAGUUAAAUGCUACAUUUUCCUGGUGCUUAACAUAAAAAGUUGCUGUAAGUGCUGGUUUGAUGCACAAGCAAACCUGAGGGGUCACAACAUUGUCUACAGAACUCAUAAACAAAUGUGAGUAGGGAAAGAUGGGUGCACAGUAAAUACCUUGUGUAGCAAGGUUCUGUGUCUCUGCCAUCUACAUGCAAACAAUUGAACUGAAUGGGCCCUAUGUGUCUAAAACACUACAUUUUAAGUUGGUGCAUGAAUUUCAUCUGGGGAGUCAACCACACAGUUUGACCUAAGUAUGGCCCCUCUUGGAUGAAUCAUCUGUAUAUGGAUGGCAGAGGUAGGGCCAAUGUACCAGCUCCGUGCAUAGGGCAGGAUCAGCACUCUGUUAUUCAAAUCAGCCUUCAAUUGCAUUAAUUCCAUCAAUUGCAUUAAUUCCACAUAAGCUUGCAUGGACUUGACUCCACUUAAUCAGCUGUCUGAAAUGGUAGACUGAGUUGGCACAUAACUUAUUCUACCUCCAGAAUAUAAUGUAGAAAACUUUUUUUUUCCUUUUUGUAAAGAGCAGAAGAUUUUUAAACUGUAAAAAGUGGAAUUAAAAUAUCAGGAGAUGCAUGCAACUAUAUCCUAGCAAAGAAAAUAAAAAAAAUGAAAACUAAACAUUCAUAAAAAUAAACACUUUCUUGCUAUGCUAAGUUAACAUCUAAACCUAACAUUUCCGUAAUAGAAUGCAUUCCAUGAUGCGGAGGUAUACAACUGGCAGUCCAGCGGUGCAGGCAGCCCUUGAGACACUUCCCCAUAAGUAACCUGACCCCUUGCUUUGAUACAUUCCUCCUGAAGAUUGAUUCACUGAGAAAGUCAUACAGGUCGCUCUGUGCUUCCUCCUCCUCCUGCUAGCAACAAGAAAAGGCCGAUCUUUUUCAGGAUUGUGAAAUAUAUGCAUGCAUGUAUGAGCAUGCACAUGUGUGAACCCUACAUUGAGCCAGGGUCACAUAUGAUCCUCAGGACUGGAAAGGUUCUGCACCCCUGCCAUAUGAGGUGUUAAAAAAGAAUCUAAACUGCCAUAGGAUUCUGCUUUAUGCAAAUAUGUCUGACAUUUGCAUUCAGUAGCAGGUGCUGCUUCCUCUUGAGAAACCUGAAUUGUAGACAGGAAACAUUUAUGGUUGUGAGCCGCCCCGAGGCUUCGGCGAAUGGGGCGGCAUAGAAGUCUCCUAAAUAAA